rnacentral:rRNA from 1 species
UUCAACUUGAGAGUUUGAUCCUGGCUCAGAAUGAACGCUGGCGGCAGGCCUAACACAUGCAAGUCGAACGGGACCUUCGGGUCUAGUGGCGGACGGGUGAGUAACGCGUGGGAACAUGCCCAAAGG